CUAGAGCUUUCUCGCGCAUGGCAGCCUCUUCUUCGUCGCGCAAUCACCGGAUCUCCCUCCUCUUCUUCGCGCAAGGCAACAGAUCUCCCUCCUCUUCGCUGGAGCCUGGGCCCGAGGAUCCUGCAAGCCGGCAGCUGGAGAAAGGCGAGCGACAUGGCGACCUCCACAAUGCGGCUGGUGAAGGACGAGAAAGAUUUAUUGCAGAACACCAGUAUGCCCGGGACUCUGUUCUGCUAAUGCGUUUGUGCCAUGUGGAGUAUUUGCUUACUCUAUUCUAGCUUUUGUAAUAAAGUAUAUUGGAUGAUGUCCCUAGCAAGUUUACUA